AUUGAACGCUAGCGGGAUGCCUUACACAUGCAAGUCGAACGGAGUGGCGCACGGGUGAGUACUGUAUCGUAACGUGCCCAGUAGCGGGGGAUAACUACGCGAAAGCGUCGCUAAUACCGCAUACUCUUGGAGCGGCCGAUCUCGGCUUAGCUAGUGGGUGGGGUAACCUCUCACCAAGGCGACGAUCCGUAGCAGGUUGGAGAAGACGACCAGCCACACUGGGACUUAGACACGGCCCAGACUCCUACGAGAGGAAGCAGUAGGGAAUUUUGGACAAUAGGGGAAACCCCGAUCCAGCCAUCACGCGUGUGCGAUGAAGGACUGCCGGUUGUAAAGCAAGUUUGGAAGGAAAGCGGUAUCUAACCAGAAAGCCACGGCUAACUACGUGCCAGCAGCCGCGGUAAUAC
rnacentral:rRNA from 1 species